rnacentral:misc_RNA from 1 species
CUCAGCUUGUUUCGGGGCCGCUUUUAUAAUGCUACAUCCAACAAAAUAUGCAGCCAUGCUAGCCGAGAAGAUGCAGAAGCAUGGCGCCACUGGGUGGCUUGUCAACACUGGUUGGUCCGGUGGAAGGUAUGGCCAAGGAAACCGCAUUAAGCUACCAUACACAAGAAAGAUCAUUGAUGCAAUUCACUCUGGCCAGCUUUUGAAUGCGACAUACAAGAAAACCGAAGUAUUCGGGCUCGAAAUUCCCACUGAGAUUGACGG